rnacentral:lncRNA from 1 species
UGUUGGAGGAGGAGUUUGCUGAGGAUGGAGAGAUGGAUGCCCUGAGGCUCCCACUCAAGGAGAGAACAAUUUUGGAACUGGUUGUGAGAUCAUACCCAGAGAGUGGUGAUCGGUGGCUGAAUGUCUGGAUGGAAACCAAUGACAAGUGGUGUCCCUCAGCGGUCAGUACUUGGACUGACAUAACAUCUGUAUCAAAGACAUCAACAGUGAGUAUAUCCUCAGCAAGUCUGUGCAUGACACCAAG